rnacentral:rRNA from 1 species
CCUACGGGUGGCAGCAGUGGGGAAUAUUGCACAAUGGGCACAAGCCUGAUGCAGCCAUGCCGCGUGUGUGAAGAAGGCCUUCGGGUUGUAAAGCACUUUCAGCGGGGAGGAAGGCGGUGAGGUUAAUAACCUCAUCGAUUGACGUUACCCGCAGAAGAAGCACCGGCUAACUCCGUGCCAGCAGCCGCGGUAAUACGGAGGGUGCAAGCGUUAAUCGGAAUUACUGGGCGUAAAGCGCACGCAGGCGGUCUGUCAAGUCGGAUGUGAAAUCCCCGGGCUCAACCUGGGAACUGCAUUCGAAACUGGCAGGCUAGAGUCUUGUAGAGGGGGGUAGAAUUCCAGGUGUAGCGGUGAAAUGCGUAGAGAUCUGGAGGAAUACCGGUGGCGAAGGCGGCCCCCUGGACAAAGACUGACGCUCAGGUGCGAAAGCGUGGGGAGCAAACAGGAUUAGAUACCCGGUAGUC